AAACGCCCGCAGAAUGAGCUGCUCGUUAACACAUUUCGCAGAUCAGAUCAAUCAGUAAAGAGAAGAGAGGAUAUCAAUACACAACUAUCAUUUGUACCUUGUGAUGGCGAUUAGUAAGAGAAAUGCAAGCCUUUUGUGCUUCACAUCGCUCAUGUUGGUGAUGGCCACUUUGAUGUUGCCUUGUUAUGCUGACCGAAAAGAAUAUUGUGGAUGGAUUAAAGAUGGAUGCACCUAUCACAAGUGCAAGGAUUGGUGCGCUGGACAGGGUUACCCCAAGAGAUUUAAGUGUGUGGACGCCGAGAAUUGUUGCUGUUUGCUUACCGCCAAGCCCAGGGUGGAUGUCGUCCGUCGUUAUGUUGACCGCCGCCGAAUGUUGUUUUCCAUUAUUAGAUAUAUAACAAAAGGCCCGUGCAUUGAAACGGGUCCAAAAUAAAUAAAUUUUAAACAGAAAUAUGUAGCAUCUCCCAUCAUCAUUGCAUAAAGUGAGUCAUCAACAUGCAGAUUCAUAAAUUUGUGAAUUUGGCCCAAAAAUGAAAGCUUGCAAAUUACAUGCAUGCUCUUAUACAUAGAGAAAGA